rnacentral:rRNA from 1 species
AGUGAACGCUGGCGGUAGGCCUAACACAUGCAAGUCGAACGGCAGCACAGUAAGAGCUUGCUCUUACGGGUGGCGAGUGGCGGACGGGUGAGGAAUACAUCGGAAUCUACUUUUUCGUGGGGGAUAACGUAGGGAAACUUACGCUAAUACCGCAUACGACCUACGGGUGAAAGCAGGGGAUCUUCGGACCUUGCGCGAUUGAAUGAGCCGAUGUCGGAUUAGAUAGUUGGCGGGGUAAAGGCCCACCAAGGCGACGAUCCGUAGCUGGUCUGAGAGGAUGAUCAGCCACACUGGAAGUGAGACACGGUCCAGACUCCUACGGGAGGCAGCAGUGGGGAAUAUUGGGCAAUGGGCGGAAGCCUGAUCCAGCCAUACCGCGUGGGUGAAGAAGGCCUUCGGGUUGUAAAGCCCUUUUGUUGGGAAAGAAAAGCAGCAGGUUAAUACCCCGCUGUUCUGACGGUACCCAAAGAAGAAGCACCGGCUAACUUCGUG